ACUCUGCAGGCUGGGAGCCCGUGCACGGGGUUGGUGGUACCUCGGGCACUCCAGCCUCGCAGAAAGAGCAUCUUCUGGAGGAAGCUGAGGCAUGCCUGCCCGAGGCCCCAGCCAGCCAUGUGCAAUGUUCCUCCCACAAGCUCAUGAGCACUGUUGCCACGGCGAUAGCGACUGGGCUGUGUCGUUUGUCUAUCAGCAAUAGUCAGAGAAAAGCUGCAGUCUGGAUAUUGUUCGGCAGAUGGAGUGGUUUCUGUUGGGCACUAAAGUACUGCUACAAAU